rnacentral:rRNA from 1 species
UACGAGUGGUUCAAGCGUUAUCCGGAAUCAUUGGGCGUAAAGGGUGCGUAGGCGGCUAUGUUAGUCUCGCGUAAAAUUCUUCGGCUUAACCGGGGGCUCGCGCGGGAAACGGCAUGGCUUAGAGGACGGAAGGGGUCUCUGGAACUCAUGGUGUAGCGGUGAAAUGCGUUGAUAUCAUGGGGAACACCAAAAGCGAAGGCAAGAGACUGGGCCGCUCCUGACGCUGAAGCACGAAAGCGUGGGUCGCGAAUGGG